UGAAUUAAGGAUUGUCAAUUGAGAAUAUAAAGCUUAAGGUAAGUGUGUAACAUUUUGGCUUAAGGUAAGCUGAAGGUAAUUAUGAGAAUAUACUGGUACAAAGAAAAAAAAUCAUAGGUACAACACUGAUACAUGAACAGUCACAAAACCUAAAGUUGGAACAUGUAGAAGCGGGGAGUAGGUUUGAGGGUAAGGCUACC
rnacentral:lncRNA from 1 species